UACGGGGGGGGCAAGCGUUGUUCGGAAUUACUGGGCGUAAAGGGCUCGUAGGCGGCCAACUAAGUCAGACGUGAAAUCCCCAGGCUCAACCUGGGAACUGCGUCUGAUACUGGAUGGCUUGAAUUCGGGAGAGGGAUGCAGAAUUCCAGGUGUAGCGGUGAAAUGCGUAGAUAUCAGGAGGAACACCGGUGGCGAAGGCGGUUCUCUGGGCAUGAUCUGACGCUGAGGAGCGAAAGUGUGGGGAGCGAACAGG
rnacentral:rRNA from 1 species